rnacentral:rRNA from 1 species
AGUGAACGCUGGCGGUAGGCCUAACACAUGCAAGUCGAACGGCAGCACAGUAAGAGCUUGCUCUUACGGGUGGCGAGUGGCGGACGGGUGAGGAAUACAUCGGAAUCUACUUUUUCGUGGGGGAUAACGUAGGGAAACUUACGCUAAUACCGCAUACGACCUACGGGUGAAAGCAGGGGAUCUUCGGACCUUGCGCGAUUGAAUGAGCCGAUGUCGGAUUAGCUAGUUGGCGGGGUAAAGGCCCACCAAGGCGACGAUCCGUAGCUGGUCUGAGAGGAUGAUCAGCCGCACUGGAACUGAGACACGGUCCAGACUCCUACGGGAGGCAGCAGUGGGGAAUAUUGGACAAUGGGCGCAAGCCUGAUCCAGCCAGACCGAGUGGGUGAAGAAGGCCUUCGGGGUGUAAAGCCCUUUUGUUGGGAAAGAAAAGCAGCAGGUUAAUACCCCGCUGUUCUGACGGUACCCAAAGAAUAAGCACCGGCUAACUUCGUG